ACACAGUGGAUUUAAUAGAGUUUUAAAGAACGAUCUCUGAGUGGAGUGAGGUUAGUUUUUUGUCUCACUGCAGAUAUAAAAACUAACUCUGCAUCAGUCAGACGCAGCAAAGCUCACCAUCUGUAUGAGCGUGAGCAUCGGAAAGCUGAUAAAAUCGGCUGUAAAAUAAUUAAAACAAAAGUAAAAAUGCUCCUUUGCUUUUUAGAGUCCACAUCCAGAAGUCUGGAGCCGUGUUUCACUGACAGGCUGUCAGACUAACGCCCUGAUGAGCUCAGCUGGGACAAACUGGUCUGAUGUUUAGGAACACAGAACGUUCAGAUGUUGGACCUUCACGUCACCUAGGAAGGAGGCUCACCAGUAAAGAGACGGUCUGGACCAGACCAAAAAUUUGGCGAUGACAUCAUGGAACUGGUCUUUGGAAAAGUUUUCCCUGAACCAACUCCGUUUCUAGAUGAGGUAGAGAAGAUCUGCAUCUCACCAACUCUCUGGUCUCAGUAUUCAGACAACGGAGGUCUCCCACUGUUAUCCAGGACCAGUUUGAAGCCCACAUACUGCCCCUCCCUCAUCAUCAGGAAACAUCAAUCCGUUUCCUGAGGACAACAGAAGACGGCAGGAGGACAGGAACUCUGAGACCUAGACACCACAGCACCGAGACACAAAGCACCUGUGUGCACAACGCCUGUUUAACUACUAAAGCCUGUUUAUUAUAUUGUUCUACUUAUUUGCUGUGAGGUUAAUACUUAGAAAAUUUGUAUAUUAAUGUAAGCAAUUUAAAAAAUCACUGAUUGUAUGUUUUCUUUUAGAUGUAAUGGUCCAAACUCAGCCUUGUAGACAUUUAUUGCAUCCUGUAGGUAAAUACACAGAACAGGCUCAGAUCCAGGAAGACCCAGCAUGCUCUUCUUCCAUUCUGGCUGUUAGGGAUUUUAUCAAUAACUCAAUGCCUACUGAUGUUUUCACCUAACGGUAUUUAUUUAGAAUGCAGGUAAGAUUUAACUAUAUUUGUUAGCAAAGCAGACUGAUCUUGGGAAUUUCACUGCAGCACUGAUGUCCACCUCUGUGUACACAUUAGAGAGAAUUACCACUUUACAGCUAAAAACACAUUUAAUAAAGAUAUAGGCUACGCAUUGCAGACAAUGAAAACGUAAAGUUGUAAGCAUUAGAAUUAUAAUGAUCACAUUAAAGAACAUUUGGAGAAAUGUUCUUUAUUUGUCACUAGAACCUCAAAUCUUUAAAUUAAAAUGUAACUGCUUUUUAUCCAUUUUCAGCCAUUAAGACACCCAAUAUAUAAUAUGACUACUUAUAAAAUUAUAUAUAUAUAUAUAUGAGAGGGGUAUUAAUAAAAUGUAUUCUUUUAAUGGUGUUUUAAUGAGCUGUAUCAGUGUGUGACUGCAGACAAAUGCAUGAGAGAGUUAGCCUUGAAA